rnacentral:rRNA from 1 species
GACGAACGCUGGCGGCGUGCCUAAUACAUGCAAGUCGAGCGGACAGAAGGGAGCUUGCUCCCGGAAGUUAGCGGCGGACGGGUGAGUAACACGUGGGCAACCUACCCUGUAGAUCGGAAUAACAUCGAGAAAUCGGUGCUAAUACAGGAUAAUCAUUUGAAGUGCAUGCUGCGAAUGUAAAAGAUUGAUCAGGCUAUCACUACGGGAUGGUCACGCGGCGCAUUAGCUAGUUGGUAAGGUAAUGGCUUACCAAGGCAACGAUGCGUAGCCGACCUGGGAGGGUGAUCGGCCACACUGGGACUGAGACACGGCCCAGACUCCUACGGGAGGCAGCAGUAGGGAAUCUUCCGCAAUGGACGAAAGUCUGACGGAGCAACGCCGCGUGAGUGAUGAAGGUUUUCGGAUCGUAAAGCUCUGUUGUUAGGGAAGAACAAGUGCCGUUUGAAUAAGGCGGCACCUUGACGGUACCUAACCAGAAAGCCACGGCUAACUACGUGCCAGCCGCCGCAGUAAGAC